rnacentral:rRNA from 1 species
AGCGAACGCUGGCGGCAGGCCUAACACAUGCAAGUCGAACGGAUCCUUCGGGAUUAGUGGCGCACGGGUGAGUAACACGUGGGAACGUGCCCUUGGGUACGGAAAAACAGUUGGAAACGACUGCUAAUACCGUAUAAUAUCGAGAGAUCAAAGAUUUAUCGCCCAAGGAUCGGCCCGCGGAAGAUUAGGUAGUUGGUGGGGUAAAAGCCUACCAAGCCUACGAUCUAUAGCUGGUCUUAGAGGAUGAUCAGCCACACUGGAACUGAGACACGGUCCAGACUCCUACGGGAGGCAGCAGUGAGGAAUAUUGGACAAUGGGCGAAAGCCUGAUCCAGCCAUGCCGCGUGAAUGAUGAAGGCCUUAGGGUUGUAAAGUUCUUUUAGCUGUGACGAUAAUGACGGUAGCAGCAGAAAAAGCCCCGGCUAACUCCGUGCCAGCAGCCGCGGUAA